rnacentral:rRNA from 1 species
AAUACGAAGGGACCUAGCGUAGUUCGGAAUUACUGGGCUUAAAGAGUUCGUAGGUGGUUGAAAAAGUUGGUGGUGAGAGCCCAGAGCUUAACUCUGGAACUGCCAUCAAAACUUUUCAGCUAGAGUAUGAUAGAGGAAAGCAGAAUUUCUAGUGUAGAGGUGAAAUUCGUAGAUAUUAGAAAGAAUACCAAUUGCGAAGGCAGCUUUCUGGAUCAUUACUGACACUGAGGAACGAAAGCAUGGGYAGCGAAGAGGAUUAGAUACCCUCGUAGUCCAUGCCGUAAACGAUGUGUGUUAGACGUUGGAAAUUUAUUUUCAGUGUCGCAGCGAAAGCGAUAAACACACCGCCUGGGGAGUACGACCGCAAGGUUAAAACUCAAAUGAAUUGACGGGGACCCGCACAAGUAGUGGAGCAUGUGGUUUAAUUCGAAGAUACGCGCAGAACCUUACCAACACUUGACAUGUUCGUCGCGACUUUAAGAGAUUAAAGUUUUCGGUUCGGCCGGACGAAACACAGGUGCUGCAUGGCUGUCGUCAGCUCGUGUCGUGAGAUGUUGGGUUAAGUCCCGCAACGAGCGCAACCCUCACUUUUAGUUGCCAUCAUUAAGUUGGGCACUCUGAAAGAACUGCCAGUGAUAAGCUGGAGGAAGGUGGGGAUGACGUCAAGUCCUCAUGGCCCUUACGUGUUGGGCUACACACGUGCUACAAUGGUAUCUACAACAGGAAGCAAGACGGCGACGUUAAGCAAAUCCUUAAAAGAUACCUCAGUUCGGAUUGCACUCUGCAACUCGAGUGCAUGAAGCUGGAAUUACUAGUAAUCGUGGAUCAGCGUGCCACGGUGAAUGCGUUCCCGGGUCUUGUACACACCGCCCGUCACACCAUGGGAGUUGGUUCUACCUUAAGGCAUGGUUUCAAACCCUUGACCACGGUAUAGUCAGC